rnacentral:rRNA from 1 species
UAAGCGUGUAGGCUGGUUUUCCAGGCAAAUCCGGAAAAUCAAGGCUGAGGCGUGAUGACGAGGCACUACGGUGCUGAAGCAACAAAUGCCCUGCUUCCAGGAAAAGCCUCUAAGCAUCAGGUAACAUUAAAUCGUACCCCAAACCGACACAGGUGGUCAGGUAGAGAAUACCAAGGCGCUUGAGAGAACUCGGGUGAAGGAACUAGGCAAAAUGGUGCCGUAACUUCGGGAGAAGGCACGCUGAUAUGUAGGUGA